UACGAAGGGUGCAAACGUUGCUCGGAAUCAUUGGGCGUAAAGCGCACGUAGGCGGCUUCGCAAGUCGGAUGUGAAAUCCCUCGGCUCAACCGAGGACGUGCAUACGAAACUGCGAAGCUUGAGUACUGAAGAGGAUCGCGGAAUUCCCGGUGUAGAGGUGAAAUUCGUAGAUAUUCGCAAGAACACCAGUGGCGAAGGCGGCUCACUGGUCCGGUACUGACGCUGAGGUGCGAAAGCGUGGGGAGCAAACAGG
rnacentral:rRNA from 1 species